rnacentral:lncRNA from 1 species
GGCGAAACAAGUCUUUCCACAGGCUGCCCACCCCUGCGGAGGGGUCAGCCGGAUUAUGGAGGACAGGAAUGGACGGGUCGGAUCCGGAAAAUACUUUCAAGAGGGUAGGACCCGAGAAUGAAACCCGAGUCCUCCAAAGUGGAAAGCCGAAGCGUUUCCACGCGCCCAAUUCGGCCAUUUAUUAUAUAUUGGAAAAAUACAGUAAAACGUGCUCUUUGCAGAAUUCUGAUGUCUUGAAGUUAUUGUUGAAGCCGUUCCACUAUUUCUUGGAUUAUUAUUAUCAUUAUUAUGUUGGGGUAAUCAAUAUUAUCACGGAAUAACUCCGGAGCAAAGUGCUAUGUCGGACAAGAGUCAAGACAUAGCUAUUUGAAAUGUUUUAUUUAUAAAACACGCAAUAUAUAUACACACAAUAUAUAUAUAUUUUACGUUAAGUAAUUGUCUGUGUCAGUGCUGAGAAACUUUCUUACUAUGUUGCAUG